AUUGAAGAUCUACUUACACUCUAUGAGUUUUAUCUUUUCGAGUGGAUCAACAAGUAUCCAUACACCAUUGACCUUCAUAAACUCUGUUUCGAACUUUAUAGCUCCAAGUCACUAAUUGGAGUCAGACCUCUGCAUAGCAUCUAUGUAGGUGAUCAAAUCCUUAUUGUUCUCAUCGAGUUCAAUAGGAUGACAUCCCGGAACUAGAUACCAAAG
rnacentral:lncRNA from 1 species